rnacentral:lncRNA from 1 species
CGUUCUUAGCCUUCGUGGCCACCGUGUAUCACAGGAGGCCGGCGCGUAGUCUUGGCAGCGCGCCAUGAGCAUACGAAGAGUCCACAGCUUCGACGGAGUGCGACUAAAAUAAAUUGCACUGUCAACGCGCAGUGGCAAGCUGAAACCCUUCUGAGGCCUACGGACGGCACUUCUUGUUAAACAGAUUUGUAAGAAUUAUUCGUCCUAG